AAUGUCAUUCUUGGGGCGCCUGGAUGGCUCAGUCAGUUGAACGUCUGACUUUGGCUCAGGUCAUGAUCUACAGUUCAUGGUUUUGAGCCCCGCAUCAGGCUCUGUGCUGACAGCUUAGAACCUGGAGCCUGCUUCAGAUUCUGUGUCUUCCUCUCUCUGCCUCUCCCCUGUUCGCGCUGUCUCUCUCUCUCUCAAAAAUAAAUAAACAUUAAAAAAAAAAAGAAAAGAAAAAAAGAAAGAAAAGAAAAGAAAAGAAAAGAAAAGAAAAUGACAUUCCUAAUCUAACAGUGAAACCCAUUAGUGGGACUUUUACCUUAAUAUAGCAUUGAAGUAUGUUCUUAGAAACAGUGAAUAGCAAAUUUUCUCUAACCUCAGUGUGAAAAAUAGAACAAACUGAGGGCUGCUGGAGGGGAGGUUGGUGGAGAAAUGGGCUAAAGGGGUGAUGGGCAUUAAGGAGGGCACUUUUUGGGAUGAGCACUGUGUGUCAUAUUUAAGAGAUGAAUCCCUGGGUUCUACUAAUCCUGAAGCCAAGACUAUACUGUCUGUUAACUAAGUUCAAUUAAAAAAAAAAAAAAAUCAGUGUGAAAAGCUUUUAUAAUUUUAAAUGGCAUAAAUUUAACCUAGCACACGAUUCUUUUAUUGUUACUAAAAUCUGGAUGCAAAAUUGAACUAAGAUAAAAAUUAAUAUAAAACCCAAAAAUCUAAGCUGUAGUAUUUUAAUAAUUACAGCCCAUGUUUAUUUAGUGAAAAUACUGAUAACAACCAAAUAAUUUUUAAUAGUUAAAAAAAAACCCAAGUCAUAUAUAAUGUGUUUUAUUUUGCUAAGACCUCUUAAUAUUCCCAGUAUUUCCCAAAAUGUAAGAAACAAAAUAUUUGGAAAAUUUCAAUAAAAUGUAAGUAUCUAUAAGUAACUAGAUUUAGACACUCAAAGAACUUACAAGUAACUAUGCCUCUAGGUUCUUGAAACAGAAAUAAAGCAUGCAGGACUCGAGACUUGGCAGUCUGAUGUUCUAAAAAAAAAAAAAAAAAAAAACAAAAACCAGAAGCCAAAUUGAUUAGCAAUAUGUUUUAACUAAAAAUUUUAGAAAGAACUGUAAAAAUUAAAGAGAUCACCUACCAUAUGGAGAAACCAUUUGACAAGGAGAGAGAAGAAAUAGGUAUCCUCGGUCUCCCAAAGGUUUAACAAGAACCUGCAUUUUUGGAAGAGGGAACAAGUUGCAUCUGUUUUAUUAUUACUCAUAAGGCAAAGACAUAGCAAUUUCUACUAAUUAUAAAGAAAACAAUAAGUUAUUGAUCAUCUUUCUUUAGGAAAAAUAAUUCUACUAAAUUAAAAGCUCUACUCUCUGAUUAACAGAAUUCUAAUCGAAUAAAAAUUACUUAGUUCUCAGAAUGAAAACAAGAAAUUACUACUGAAAGAAUUCCUCUAAUUAACUGUGAAACCAACUUGCUGAUUUUUCCUUGAAGUUAAAAUGCAAGGACCAAACUAAAGACUUCAAAUAUCUUCCUCAGCAAUUCAAAAGACCUAUUAUUAGUUGCCAAGGCAGUGUGUUGGAUGUUGGGGGUAUAAAACAACUACAGCACAAACAUUGCCUUUCUGUGAGUACAGGCUAAUCUCAAAUGAAAUGUGUUGCUAUAAUCUAAUGUUUUCACAUAAAGAACACAUUUCACAUCUAAGGCAAUUUCCCUUGCCAGAAGUAACUUCAAAGAUAAGCAACACAAGAGCCUUGAGAGUAAUUUAUAAUUGGAUGGAGAGAGUAACACAAGAAAUGUCAAUAAUUAGUCAAGAUAGAAAAGUUCUCAAAAAGAUUUAUAAAACAACAGAGAAAAACUAUAAUUUAUUUAUGGUUAGAAGAGAUGCCAAGAGCAUACUUAAGUUGGAUGUUGAAGGAUGGGAAUAUUGCCAAGAGCCUGAGAUUAUGGGAAGAACAUUUCAAUAGAGGCAACAUCAUGAACAAAGGCAGAAUUAUAAUUGAUGAACAGUUUGCAGGCAUCAGAGUACUUAUGACUGGGAAAAGGGUAAUGACAGACUAUGACAAACACACAAAUCUAGAAGAAAAGAUCACUGGCUCAUUUGUAAAAAGACAAGGAUGCCAAGUUAGCCAGGAAUGCCCUCAAAAAUAUAUCCUUUUGAACGGGAGUUCAAGAAACAACAAAAACUCAACAGCACUGUGCAGGAGGGGGAAGAAAACAAUGUAAUGCAAAGAAACUUCAGGAGAUAUUGUAAUUGUUCACAAUACAUUUUAAAGAAAGGGGAAGUAAAGGAAGAACUGAGCAUGACAGUUGCACACAAACGAACUCCGGGCUCUGAAAGGAAAUGUGUGCUACCUAAAUUUGUAUUGUAAAUUUGUAACUAUUCCAGUAAACAAAGUCUGUGUAAGAACGCAAAUUUAAAGGACAAAAAGUAACUGCUAUCAAUUUACAUUUAAUAAAACAGUGGUUUAGGGGAGCUUGGGUGGCUCAGUCGAUUUAAGUGACCGACUCUUGGUUUCAACUCAGGUCAUGAUCUCACAGUUUCAUAAGUUGGAGCCCUGCCUGACAGCACAGAGCCUGCUUGGGAUUUUCUCUCUCCUUCUCUUUCUCUGUCACUCCCCCACUUGCACUGUCUGAGUCUCUCUCAAAAUAAAUAAAUAAACUUAAAAAAAAAAAGUUUUUUAAAUAAAAUAAAAAAUAAAAACACCGUUUGAAUAGCCAAAAGUAAGGUGGAAAAUGUACCUGCAACAUUUUUGUUUCAGAUUCAACCACUUUUGUCCAAAAAUGUUUUAUACAUCCUAUAUAUUUCUGUUAACAUUUUACCCAACUCCGGGUUUGUCAGAACAGGAAGCUGGGAAGCAUGAGUAAGAUUUUCAUGUUUUGUGGUAACUAAGGAGAAAGAUUCUUUUUAAUGUCUCACCCCACUCCAAGUACCAGGUUUUUAAAAAUUCCACUGGCUGUGUGGCAUAAAGACCCUCCUUGUCUUUUAAGGGGCCUCAAUGUCCCCAGAGUCUCAUGGAGCACAGGGACUCUAUACCCAGCAACACCACUCAGGCAGACAGAGGCCCUAACAGUAGUAUUUUUGCCCUUUAGCUCCAAGAAAUACUUUAAAUGCUAUAGGAAAGCAAACACCUGUUAACUAGGUUCUCCUACUACCUCGAUUACACCUUAUUGUUUUCUUCCCCUCAGAAAACAAUAUUAACCCAGUCAUUAAUUUUUAUUACUCAAUUCUACUAUUUUGACUUUCCAUAUAAAUAUUACAGGUAACAUGGUACAAAAACAAAAAUGUGUUGGGGCGUCUGGAUGUCUCAGUCGGUGGAGCAUAUGACUCUUGAUCUCAGAGUUGUGAGUUCGAGCCCUAUGUUGGAUGUGGAGAUUACCUAAAAAGAAAAUCUUUAAAAACACACAAACACACAAACAAACAAACAAAAGUGUGUUAAUAAUAUAAAACAUCAAGCUCACAACCUAGGAGGAAAUAAGCUACCCUAAGUGAGAUUUAGCAGAAACACGAGAUUCAAAUGCCCAAGGGCUUCAAACUGGAAUAACAGAUGUAAUAUAUAAAACAGGUAUGAGAUGCUUAAAGAAAUAACUGGUAGAACUGAAAACAUAUUCACAUAAAAAUUGAUACACAGAUGUUCAUAGCAGCUUAUUCAUAACAAAGAAUAGAAACAAUUGACAAAAUGUGGUAUUAUCCAUACAAUGAAAUACUGUUCAGCCAUAAAAAGGAAUGAAGUACUGACAUGCUACAACAUGGAUGAACCUUAAAAACAUUAUGUUGAGUGAGGGGUGCUUGGGUGUCUCAGUUGGUUAAGCAUCCCCGACUUCAGCUCGGGUCAUGAUCUCGUUGCGCAUGGGUUUAAGCCCUACAUCGGGCUCUGUGCUGAUAGCUCAGAGCCUGGAGCCUGCUUCGGAUUCUGUGUCUUCCUCUCUCUCCCCCUCCCCUGCUCAACUCUCUCAAAAAUAAAUAAACAUUAAAAAAAAUUUUUUUUAAUUAUGCUGAGUGAAAGAAGCAAUGCACUAAAGGCCACAUACUGCAUGAUUCCAUUUAUAUAAAAUGUCUGGAAUAGAUAAAUCCAUAAGGACAGAAGUAGAUUCACAGUGGGAUUGGAGGAGGAACAAAUACAGAAUGUAUGGUUACCAGGUAUGAGGUUUCUUUUCUUUCUAGGGUGAUAAAAAUGUUCUGAAAUUAGAUAGUGAUGAUGGCUAUACAACACUGUGAAUCUACUAAACAUCACUGAAAAGGUGUACACUUAAAAAUGGCUAGGCAUGGGGCACCUGGGUGACUCAGUUGGUUGAGCAUCUGGUUCUUGAUAUAGGCUCAAAUUGUCAUCUUGUGGUUGUGGGAUUGAGCCCCGUGUUGGGCUCUGUGCUGAGCAUGGAGCCUGUUUAAGAUUCUCUCUCUCCCUCUCUGCCUCUCUCCUGCUCAUACUCUCUCUCUCAAAAUAAAUAAACAUCAGUCAGUUGAGCAUCCAACUCUUGAUUUUGGCUCAGGUCAUGAUCCCAGGGCCGUGGGAUCGAGCCCCAUGUUGGGCUCCACGCUGAGUAUGAAGCCUGCUUAAGAUUCUCUCUGUCCCUCUCCCUCACUCGCAUUCUCUCUAAAAAAUAAUAAUAAAAAUAGAAAUGGCUAAAAUGAAGCUUAUUUCAAUAUACCUCCUGAAUAUCAGAAUAGAACCUCCAUGUCCUCAAUAAGUAUUUCUAAAAAAUAUUAACAAGAAUCUAUUUAAAAAGAAAAAAAAAGACCAGGCAGGUCUUAAAAAUAAGCAAAUACAACUUUUAAGAAAUCAAAAAUAUUAUGUGAAAUUGGAAACUCAACGAAUGGAUUAAAUAACAAACCAGACACAGCUAAAGACAGAAUUUGUAAACUAGAGGGUAACUAUGAUGAAAUCACUCAGAAUGAAGCAGAGAAACAAGUAGAUGUAAAACACAAGAGAAGUUCACAGACAUCAAGAACAUAAUGAAAAGACCUGAUAUAGGAUGCUCUAGGUUCCUAGAAAAACAGUCUACAAAGAAUGAAGGAGAAGUAUAAUCAGAAAGAUAAUGACUAACUGUAUUAUAGAAAUGCAUCUAUAAAUCCAGAUAUCAAAUUAUACCAAGGUGGAUAAAUAAGAAAUCUAUACCUAGAUAUAGAGUUGAAAAACACCAAAGACAAAGAUUAAAAAAAGCAACCAGAAAAAAGAUGACAACCUACAAAGGAAUGAUAAUUAGACUAAGAACUGACCUCUCAACAAAAAUAGAAGCCAGAAGAUAUUGUAACAUAGUCAAAGCACUAAGAGGAAAUAGCUGUCAACCCAGGACUGUGUACCCAGAAUCUAACAAAGAAUACACUUUUUUGGGCAAGUCUACAGAGCAUCUACAGGGCAUGUUCAAAAAUUGACCACAAAGUUGGCUUUAGAUUAAGUAUCAAUACAUUUCAAAUAAUCACCACCUGUUUUGAUUAUAACAAUUAAAUGGGGAAAAAAAAGACAAAAGUAUUCUUAUAUAUUUGGAAAUUUAAAAACAAUCCUCUACAUCACAUAUCAAAAUAGAAAAUCAUAAUGGAAACUAAAAAGUACUUAGAACUGAAUGAUAAUGAAAAUCCUACAUAUUAAAAGUUGUGGAAUGCAACUAAAAGAGUACUUGCAUUGACCAUUUUUCCAACUUAAGAAAGCAGAAAUAAAAUGAACCUCCCAAAAGUUGAAAUUAAUAGAACAGCUAAAAUUAGGAAAAGAGUAAAACAAAGAUAUAACAGAAGGUUAAAACCAUAAUUUGGUUAAGAUUAAUAAAACACACAAACCCCUGGUGAAAGUGACUAAUAAUAAGGGAAGGCAUAAUGAAAAUAUUAUCACAUAAUAAUGCUCACAGCAGCUAUUAAUAGACUAUUUAAAUGACUAUAUUGCAAUAAACUCAAAAACAUAGAAAAAAUGGACAAAUUCCUAAAAACCAAACAAAACCAUAAUAUAUCUAAACUGACAUAAGAAUAGAAAACCUGAGAAGUUUAACUAUUAAAUUGAAUCAGUACUUUAAAAUCACCCAGAAAAACGAAGACAGUUUUGUAAUUAAGUGCUAGCCAACAUCCAAAGAACAGAUUAUUCUAAUCAUAUGUACAAACAUCUCUUACAAAAUGAGGAAAACUAUUCAACUCAAUUCUGAGAAGCUAGUGUAACUUUUAAGUUUUUAUUUAUUUAUUUUGAGAGAAAGUGUGUGUGUGCACUAGCAGGGAAGGGGCAAAGAGAGAGGGAGAGAGAAUUCCAAGCAGGCUCUGUGCUGUCAGUGUAGACCUUGAUGCAGGGCUCAAUCUCACCAUGAGAUCAUGACCUGAGCCAAGAUCAAAAGUUGGACAUUUAACUGACUGAACCAUCCAGGUGCCCCCUAGUAUAACUUUGAUACAAAAACUAGACAAGAACAAGAUUGCAGGUCAAUCUAACUUAUCACAGAUACAAAAUUUUUCAACAAAACAUUCACAGAUCAAACCAUACAUUACAAAAAAAAAAAAAAAGUGAAGUUGGUGUUCUUAACUAGCAAUACAAACAUAGUUUAAUACUGGCAAAAGAUAAAUGUAAUUCAUCUUCUAAGUCUACAGAAUAAAUAUUACAUGUGAUAGUUAAUUUUGUGUGUCAACAUGACUGGGCCACAGGGUGUCCAGAUAUUUGGUCAAACUCUAUUCUGGCUGUUUCUGAGAAUAUUUUUGGAUGACUUUAACACAUAAGCUCUCCUGAUUCUCCAGCUUGGUGACUGCAAAUUUUGGAAUUUUAUGGGCUCCAUAAUUGUGUGAGCCAAUUCUUUAUAAUAAAUCUCUUUCUAUAUAUGUACAUCCUAUUAGUUCUGUUCCUCUGGAGAACCCUAAUACACCUUGUUACCAACUUGAUAAAAGCCAAAAACAAAAACAACAAAAAAUGAAAAAAGCAUUAAAAAAAAUUCAAAACCCAUAGUGGUUAAAAUAAUGAAGGAAAUUUUUAAACUGAUAAAGGUAUCUAUGAAAAUCUACUACAAACUUCCUACCUAAUGGUUCAUGUUAGACAUGUUCUUUUUAAAAUCAAAGACCAGGGAAUGCCUCCAACUACCACUUUUAUUCAACAUUGUACUGGAGAUCCUAGAUUACACAGUAAUACUAAUGCAAGAAAGAGAAAUACAAAGCUUGAAGACUAGAAAGGAAAAAAAACCAAUGUUGCUUCCAGAUAAUAAAAUCUAUAUAGCAAUCUCAAACAAUGUACAAAAAAUAAAUUAUUCAAAUUUCAUACUCUGAUCUAACAUAAUUAAUACAUAAAUAUCAAUUACAUUUUUAUAUACACAACGAACAGAAAAUGUACUGAAAUGGAAAAUACUGUUUACAAUCACACCAAAAACAAUUAAAUGGCUGGGGAUAAACCAAACAAAAAAUAAGCAAGACAUGUACCCAGAAAACUAUAAAGCUCUACUAAAAGAAUACCCUAAAAGAGUAAAGAGAUAAUCCUGUUCAUGGAUAAGACAGUAACAUAAAACACAUCAAUUCUCUCAAAUUUCAUCUAUAGAUUAAAAAAAUCUCAAUAGGGCUUUUUUUGGGGGGGGAGCACCUUAAAAUCUGAUUCUAACAUUUUUUGCAUAAAGCAAAGCUGAGGGGAGCCUAAGGAGCUCACUCAGUUGAGCAACAGACUCCUGAUUUCAGCUCAUGUCAUGAUCCCAGAGUCAUGGGAUCCCACAUCAGCCCAGAGCCUGCUUAGGAUUCUCUCUAAAAUGAAAAAAAAAAAAAUUAAAGAAAGAAAAAAGCAAAGCUGAUAUUUAAAUAUUUGAAAAAAAGUUCCAUCUCAAAUAGCAAAACAGUUCCCAAAAGAGGCAGUUGACUCUACCUCAUAUCAAGGCUUCUCGGUGGAGAAAUGUUUCAGGAACAAUUUGGUAUUCAUAUUGGGGAAAAAAAUGAAUAUUGGAUUCCUAUAUUAUAUCACACAAAAACAAAACAAGCAAAAACCUAUUUAUUUAUUUAAAGACCUAGGUGCCAAAGGCAAAAUCAUAACAUAUUCAGAAGAAAACACAGGGGCAAUACCUGUAAGAUCUAGGGGGUAAGGAAAGAUUUCUUAAAGUCACAAACAGUGCUUAACAUUCAGGCAGAUAAAUUUAAACACACUGAAGUUAGGAACAUCUGUUCUUCAAAAAACACCAGGAAUAAAGUGAAAAGGCAAGCAUAGAUUAUGAAAAAAAAAUUCUAGCACACAUAGCUCAGUAUUAGGACCCAAAAAUGUAUUAAAAAUUCCUUUAAUAAGUAAGAAAACACAAGGCAGGGGCACCUGGGUGGCUCAGUCAGUUAAGCAUCUGACUUUGGCUCAGGUCAUGAUCUCAAGGGUUGUGGGUUGGAGCCCCACAUCAGGUUCUGUGCUGACAGCUCAGAGCCUGGAGCCAGCUUUGGAUUCUGUGUCUCUCUCUCUCUCUGCCCCUCCCCUGCUUGCUCGCUCGCGCUCUCCCUCUCUC